rnacentral:ncRNA from 1 species
UGGGCUGAACAUUAUGCGUUCCUGGUCCAUCGACAGGCGGGGAUAUACCUC